UACAGAGGCCUCGAGCGUUAGGCGGAAUCACUGGGCUUAAAGCGUGUGUAGGCGGUUGCCUAAGUGCUUUGUGAAAUCCCACGGCUCAACCGUGGAAUUGCUUGGCAUACUGGGUGUCUUGAGCCAUCUAGGGGCGAGCGGAACAAGUGGUGGAGCGGUGAAAUGCGUAGAUAUCACUUGGAACGCCAACGGUGAAAACAGCUCGCUGGGGAUGUGCUGACGCUGAGACACGAAAGCCAGGGGAGCGAACGGG
rnacentral:rRNA from 1 species